AUGAGGAGUUUCAUUGCACAUGCAGUCACCUGCAGGAUACCUGCUGUUGGCACUCACUUCCAGGGCACAAAAGAAGAAAUGAUGCAACUUGAGGUGAAUCUUGGUGAGGAAGCAAUCCAGCAUGGCAUGAAUCGCCUGCCACUAUCUGGAAAUCACUUGUGUGAGGUUGCUCCUGGAAUUGCACAUUUUUCAUGGAAGGAACCAAUUAAUCUUUCCCAGUGUUACUACAGUGCUGUUUACUAUGCUCUGGUGAUCCAUCACUUGCCCUUCUUUGGCUGCUCCAAUGUAAAUUGUCAUAACUGUUAUGGCAGCAUGCCUGAAAGAAGGAAUUAUCAUCUCAGUGGAGCAGUGGGACACGCCAUGUAA
rnacentral:lncRNA from 1 species